GCAGGAGCUGCCCCCUAGUAGUCAGUGUGCUCCCCAGGGGGAGCGACUGCUCAGCCAGAAGCCAGGCUCACAGCUGGUGAGCGCAGUGGCGGUGGCAGAGCCUCUCCCACCUCCAUGGCAGUGCUAAGGAACAGCAAGCCAAAUGAAUGGAAGGCUCUGUUUUUUCACACCUCCAACAAAGAUUUGAAAAAUAAGCCUGUCCUAUCCCCCUGAGAACAGAGCAACAAGGCAUUCAGCUAUAACGGUGCCAGGGCUGAGUUAAGACAAGGGCACAUCAGCCAGCGCUUGUUUCCAUGACUGCCCAACUGCCCCACCUACACAGAAAUACCACGGGGACAAAAUGUUAAACUGAGCCGUGUUUGCAGCUGCUCUUUGGAAUCUCAUUAUGUACGAUGUGUGUGCUAAUCAGAAAUUCAAUUAAUAAAGAUUUGACAAGA